rnacentral:rRNA from 1 species
CCUCGGGAAACCGUGGCUAAUACCGGAUACGAAACGGAGCUGCAUGGCUGCCGUUUGGAAAGUUUUUCGGUUUGGGAUGGACUCGCGGCCUAUCAGCUUGUUGGUGAGGUAAUGGCUCACCAAGGCGACGACGGGUAGCCGGCCUGAGAGGGCGAUCGGCCACACUGGGACUGAGACACGGCCCAGACUCCUACGGGAGGCAGCAGUGGGGAAUAUUGCACAAUGGGCGAAAGCCUGAUGCAGCGACGCCGCGUGAGGGAUGACGGCCUUCGGGUUGUAAACCUCUUUCAGCAGGGAAGAAGCGAAAGUGACGGUACCUGCAGAAGAAGCACCGGCUAACUACGUGCCAGCAGCCGCGGUAAUACGUAGGGUGCGAGCGUUGUCCGGAAUUAUUGGGCGUAAAGAGCUUGUAGGCGGUUUGUCGCGUCUGCUGUGAAAAUCCGGGGCUCAACCCCGGACUUGCAGUGGGUACGGGCAGACUAGAGUGUGGUAGGGGAGACUGGAAUUCCUGGUGUAGCGGUGAAAUGCGCAGAUAUCAGGAGGAACACCGAUGGCGAAGGCAGGUCUCUGGGCCACUACUGACGCUGAGAAGCGAAAGCAUGGGGAGCGAACAGGAUUAGAUACCCUGGUAGUCCAUGCCGUAAACGUUGGGAACUAGGUGUGGGUCUCAUUCCACGAGAUCCGUGCCGCAGCUAACGCAUUAAGUUCCCCGCCUGGGGAGUACGGCCGCAAGGCUAAAACUCAAAGGAAUUGACGGAAUCGA